AACGAACGCUGGCGGCAUGCCUAACACAUGCAAGUCGAACGAGACCUUCGGGUCUAGUGGCGCACGGGUGCGUAACGCGUGGGAACCUGCCCUUAGGUUCGGAAUACCUCCCCGAAAGGGGUGCUAAUACCGGAUAAUUUCUUCGGACCAAAGAUUUAUCGCCUUUGGAUGGGCCCGCGUUGGUUUAGCUAGUUGGUAGGGUAAAAGCCUACCAAGGCGACGAUCCAUAGCUGGUCUGAGAGGAUGAUCAGCCACACUGGGACUGAGACACGGCCCAGACUCCUACGGGAGGCAGCAGUGGGGAAUAUUGGACAAUGGGCGAAGGCCUGAUCCAGCAAUGCCGCGUGAGUGAUGAAGGCCUUAGGGUUGUAAAGCUCUUUUACCCGGGAUGAUAAUGACAGUACCGGGAGAAUAAGCUCCGGCUAACUCCGUG
rnacentral:rRNA from 1 species